rnacentral:rRNA from 1 species
UACGGAGGGUGCAAGCGUUAUCCGGAUUCACGGGGUUUAAAGGGUGCGUAGGUGGGCAGGUAAGUCAGUGGUGAAAUCUCCGGGCUUAACCCGGAAACUGCCAUUGAUACUAUUUGUCUUGAAUACUGUGGAGGUCAGCGGAAUAUGUCAUGUAGCGGUGAAAUGCUUAGAUAUGGCAUAGAACACCCAUUGCGAAGGCAGCUUACUACGGAUCGAUUGACACUGAGGCACGAAAGCGUGGGGAUCAAACAGG